AGUAAAAUUUUCCAUCUAUUUCUACGAUUAAAAAUUGAUGUUUCUGACAGAAUAAUCAGACAAUUACAUGUGGCAUGCCAUGUGUAUUUCAUUUUAAUACUCAUGGACAAUUUUAACCGUAAAAAUUGAUGAAUUCUUUUUUACA
rfam:Gossypium hirsutum cultivar TM-1 chromosome 22, whole genome shotgun sequence